UACGGGGGGGGCAAGCGUUGUUCGGAAUUACUGGGCGUAAAGGGCGCGUAGGCGGCCCGGCCAGUCCCUUGUGAAAUCCCAUGGCUCAACUGUGGAAUUGCAGGGGAUACUGCCAGGCUUGAGUCCGGGAGAGGGGAGUGGAAUUCCAAGUGUAGCGGUGAAAUGCGUAGAUAUUGGGAGGAACACCGGUGGCGAAGGCGGCUCCCUGGACCGGUACUGACGCUGAGGCGAGAAAGCUAGGGGAGCAAACGGG
rnacentral:rRNA from 1 species